ACAGAGAGGGGAUAGGAAGUGAUGAAAUUGUACACAGUGAGUUGGGGUUUCCUAUAGAAGGAGGGCGGAACCUAGAGCCUCAGAUGACAAGGAGAAAACUGGUGCCAAGUUACCAAGACUUUGCCUACAGCUUUUGUCCCAGCACACACUUGAGGAGUGACUGAGGGAAUGGUUGAUGGUGUUAUGGACAAGAGUCUGAAACAUCCAAGCUCUUUGGCUCCCUCUAUCUCCUGGAGUACAGUGAUUGUCCUAUACUAGAACACUCUCUAAUCCUACAGUGAAUAUGUCUGUUCCCUCUUCAAGAGCUAAGCCUUCUAAGAUCCAGAAGCAAAAAUCCAAUAUUCCUUACUCACAGCUCACAGGAGGAAAGACAAGCUAAAAAAAAACCCCAAAACAAAUUGAAAGUGAUGAGAAUAGGACCACAAAAAGUUCAGGAGUCUAAGAAAUGUCCUCACUUCAUGGAAUGCAUGAGUUCUGGAAGACGUCCUCACUUUAUGGAAUGCGUGAGUUCUGGAAGACAUCCUCGCUUCAUGGAAUGCGUGAGUUCUGGAAGAUGUCUUCACUUCAUGGAAUGCGUGGGGUUUCAAGUCAAGUUUUCACUCAACAUUCUGAUGACUUAGGAGACUUGCUUUCUGUUUCAUUUUGUUUUCUGAAUCAUCUUCAAAAUGGCUUCUUCUUCACUGUAUUCUACAUGAUGAAAACAAGAGCUAAAGAGAAAGAAAAGCUCCCCUGACUACCAAGACUGGAGGUUUAAUGAAUCACACUUGCAACUACAUCCCAUAGGCAGUGAACAUAUUUUCUGAAAGCCUCAGCUUCAAGGGAUUUGGGUUGAUGCUUUGGAAGGAUAAAUAGCCUGCUCAUGGUGACCUCAGUGAGCAUCAGGGGACAUUGAGAGACAACAGUCUUGGCAUAAAUGCUGUCCUCUAUCCAUUAAAUGCAUUAUAAUGCUCAGGAGUUUGGAGAAUGACUACAGAGUUGGAGUCUGAGCUAUGGACCUACGUGAAAAAGCAGUGGAUCCAGAGCUUGGGCAACAUGGGAACAAGAAGAAUGGUAACCUGUGCUUCCCAUCGGCUCAAUAAGGGUUCAUCCUUAAGUGUGGGUGGCUCAGCAGCAGCUGUUUCCA